rnacentral:rRNA from 1 species
AGAGUUUGAUCAUGGCUCAGGAUGAACGCUGGCGGCGUGCCUAACACAUGCAAGUCGAGCGAUUCUCUUCGGAGAAGAGCGGCGGACGGGUGAGUAACGCGUGGGUAACCUGCCCUGUACACACGGAUAACAUACCGAAAGGUAUGCUAAUACGAGAUAAUAUACUUUUAUCGCAUGGUAGAAGUAUCAAAGCUUUUGCGGUACAGGAUGGACCCGCGUCUGAUUAGCUAGUUGGUAAGGUAACGGCUUACCAAGGCGACGAUCAGUAGCCGACCUGAGAGGGUGAUCGGCCACAUUGGAACUGAGACACGGUCCAAACUCCUACGGGAGGCAGCAGUGGGGAAUAUUGCACAAUGGGCGAAAGCCUGAUGCAGCAACGCCGCGUGAGCGAUGAAGGCCUUCGGGUCGUAAAGCUCUGUCCUCAAGGAAGAUAAUGACGGUACUUGAGGAGGAAGCCCCGGCUAACUACGUGCCAGCAGCCGCGGUAAUACGUAGGGGGCUAGCGUUAUCCGGAAUUACUGGGCGUAAAGGGUGCGUAGGUGGUUUCUUAAGUCAGAGGUGAAAGGCUACGGCUCAACCGUAGUAAGCCUUUGAAACUGAGAAACUUGAGUGCAGGAGAGGAGAGUGGAAUUCCUAGUGUAGCGGUGAAAUGCGUAGAUAUUAGGAGGAACACCAGUUGCGAAGGCGGCUCUCUGGACUGUAACUGACACUGAGGCACGAAAGCGUGGGGAGCAAACAGGAUUAGAUACCCUGGUAGUCCACGCCGUAAACGAUGAGUACUAGCUGUCGGAGGUUACCCCCUUCGGUGGCGCAGCUAACGCAUUAAGUACUCCGCCUGGGAAGUACGCUCGCAAGAGUGAAACUCAAAGGAAUUGACGG